GAUGAACGCUGGCGGCGUGCCUAAUACAUGCAAGUCGAGCGAACGGACGAGAAGCUUGCUUUUCUGAUGUUAGCGGCGGACGGGUGAGUAACACGUGGAUAACCUACCUAUAAGACUGGGAUAACUUCGGGAAACCGGAGCUCAUAUCGGAUAAUAUUUUGAACGGCAUGGUUCAACAGUGAAAGACGGUCUUGCUGUCACUUAUAGAUGGAUCCGCGCUGCAUUAGCUAGUUGGUAAGGUAACGGCUUACCAAGGCAACGAUGCAUAGCCGACCUGAGAGGGUGAUCGGCCACACUGGAACUGAGACACGGUCCAGACUCCUACGGGAGGCAGCAGUAGGGAAUCUUCCGCAAUGGGCGAAAGCCUGACGGAGCAACGCCGCGUGAGUGAUGAAGGUCUUCGGAUCGUAAAACUCUGUUAGUAGGGAAGAACAUAUGUGUAAGUAACUGUGCACAUCUUGACGGUACCUAAUCAGAAAGCCACGGCUAACUACGUG
rnacentral:rRNA from 1 species